GACAGAGGGUGCAAACGUUGUUCGGAAUUACUGGGCGUAAAGCGUGUGUAGGCGGCCAUUCAAGUCGGAUGUGAAAGCCCCGGGCUCAACCCGGGAAGUGCACCCGAAACUGGAUGGCUUGAGUAUCGGAGAGGUUGGUGGAAUUCUCGGUGUAGAGGUGAAAUUCGUAGAUAUCAGGAGGAACACCGGUGGUGUAGACGGCCUUCUGGACCGUAACUGACGCUGAGACACGAAAGCGUGGGUAGCAAACAGG
rnacentral:rRNA from 1 species